GGAGAGUUCCGCUGAAUGGUCGGCAACCGGCGUCGAAUACCGGGGUGCGGUAACACGUAGGGGUUCGAGUCCUCAACUCUCCGCCA
rnacentral:tRNA from 22 species